GCUCCCGUAGUUAAACUGGAUAUAACGGUGGAUUGCGAUUCCUCUAUUGUGGGUUCGAGUCCCGCCGGGAGCA
rnacentral:tRNA from 1 species